rnacentral:rRNA from 1 species
CAAAGUCAUGGUUAAGUGGGAAACGAUGUGGGAAGGCCCAGACAGCCAGGAUGUUGGCUUAGAAGCAGCCAUCAUUUAAAGAAAGCGUAAUAGCUCACUGGUCGAGUCGGCCUGCGCGGAAGAUGUAACGGGGCUAAACCAUGCACCGAAGCUGCGGCAGCGACACUGUGUGUUGUUGGGUAGGGGAGCGUUCUGUAAGCCUGCGAAGGUGUGCUGUGAGGCAUGCUGGAGGUAUCAGAAGUGCGAAUGCUGACAUAAGUAACGAUAAAGCGGGUGAAAAGCCCGCUCGCCGGAAGACCAAGGGUUCCUGUCCAACGUUAAUCGGGGCAGGGUGAGUCGACCCCUAAGGCGAGGCCGAAAGGCGUAGUCGAUGGGAAACAGGUUAAUAUUCCUGUACUUGGUGUUACUGCGAAGGGGGGACGGAGAAGGCUAUGUUGGCCGGGCGACGGUUGUCCCGGUUUAAGCGUGUAGGCUGGUUUUCCAGGCAAAUCCGGAAAAUCAAGGCUGAGGCGUGAUGACGAGGCACUACGGUGCUGAAGCAACAAAUGCCCUGCUUCCAGGAAAAGCCUCUAAGCAUCAGGUAACAUCAAAUCGUACCCCAAACCGACACAGGUGGUCAGGUAGAGAAUACCAAGGCGCUUGAGAGAACUCGGGUGAAGGAACUAGGCAAAAUGGUGCCGUAACU